GACGAACGCUGGCGGCGUGCUUAACACAUGCAAGUCGAACGCUGAAGCUCAGCUUUUGUUGGGUGGAUGAGUGGCGAACGGGUGAGUAACACGUGAGUAACCUGCCCUCUUCUUUGGGAUAACGCCCGGAAACGGGUGCUAAUACUGGAUAUUCACUUGCCUUCGCAUGGGGGUUGGUGGAAAGGGUUUUUUCUGGUGGGGGAUGGGCUCGCGGCCUAUCAGCUUGUUGGUGGGGUGAUGGCCUACCAAGGCUUUGACGGGUAGCCGGCCUGAGAGGGUGACCGGUCACAUUGGGACUGAGAUACGGCCCAGACUCCUACGGGAGGCAGCAGUGGGGGAAUAUUUCACAAUGGGCGAAAGCCUGAUGCAGCGACGCCGCGUGAGGGAUGGAGGCCUCCGGGUUGUAUACCUCUUUCCCUCUUGGUCUACCCACAUAUUUGGGUUGUGGGUGAGCGUAGCGGGUAAUAAGC
rnacentral:rRNA from 1 species